GCGAAAAUUAAAAAAACCAACCAAACCCCCCCAAAUUAACCCCGUUCUCUCUCUCUCUCUUCAAAAAACCCCAAUCCUGUGCUCCUUCUCCCCCCCAACUCUGAACUCGUCGCUGCCGUCAGAGGCCGCCGUCGAGGCCUGCAGUUUGCCGCCGACUCCCCCUCAAAAAACCCUAGUUCUUCCUCCCCAAAUCGGACCUCGCCGCCUCUCUUGCUCCCCAUUUUCGCCGGACGCCUUACUUUUAAGUCCUCUACCUCAAAACCCUAACCCUAAUAUAUGACAAAUUAAAAGAUCUGCUGGUCUUCAGCUUAGGUUUUUAUUGUUGUUAGAAUUUGUAUCGAGGGCUUCAGAUCGUUGGAAAGAUACGUCCUUUUCUCGAUUCAGAGGUCAGUAAAGCUCCUGAUGGAGAGUCGAGCGUCUCCCAAAUCUCGAUGUCAAGAACUGAAGGAGAAUUCGCCUCUGUUUCUUUCGCUGAUCAAGUGAAUGGACGGAAGGAUAGCUACAAACUAGAUUGGUGCUACGGGCAAGAAGAGACCACUGGUGAUAUUUUCUCCUGAGAGAUUAAACCUCUCCUUGAGGGAAUUCUCAAAGGAGGUAAUGGUUGUGUGAUUGCUUAUGGUGCUCAAGGAAGUGGGAAGACACAAUUAGUUCAGGUGACUUCAAGGUCCAUUUAAAGCCAAAGGUCUCGACAAAAUCCGUUUGUGCAGAACAUCUUGAAUUACGUAAAGAAAUUCUCACCCUGCUCAAUUUACAGAAACAUGUGCAAAAUAGUGAUGCUGAAGCUGCAAACCGUGACAGUUCAUAUACAGAAGCAUCAAGCACUCCUAAGAAAAAUGCAUCACCUGGUGGGAUGUGGCAUAUAGAUUUCUAUUUUAUAUUUUCUAAACGGCAGCGGAGCGUCCUCCAAGUUCCAGAACGAUGUCGCGCUCCUGCUCUACGGAUUGUAUCAGCAAGCGACCGUGGGGCCUUGCAAUACAGCGGAGCCUAGGGCUUGGAAUCCAAUGGAGCACAGCGAGUGGACUAGCUCGAACAAGAAACCCACUCUCAGCUUGGGGAUGCAACUAUAAUUUCUUAUAGAUGCGGCUACAAUUCCAAUUCCAAAUAGACACAACCUUCUUUAUCACCUUGCAGGCUAUAAGUGUGGAGGUAAUAUUAUGAUAUCAGCAUAACGUAAUGAUUAAUUUGCUGCCACCUAUUAAUUUUUAUGUGUCACAAAUGUUUGCAUCUCAUACUUUACCUUAAAGAGGUUAAAACAUCUACGGAAUGAAGGCUAUGUUUACGAUAGCUAUUCGUGACUAAGUAAGGUGACAAUAUUAUUGUCACGUAGUUAGCCUUUGUUUUAUAUGAAGCACUUUUUUUUAAAUAAAUGAUGAUGAUAUUAGCAUGUGCGAAAUUUUAGUUUCUUUCAAAUGAUUUACAUAUCAUAUGGUUUCUUAAUAUGCAUCAUGUACAACGCACGUAUUGCAUCCUAGUACAAAAGAAAAACUUAUCUACUGCAAACAGCUGCAAUUGUGUGGGGGCUUUAUUGUUACUUGCUCUUCUAUAUUUAAUAAUCAAUUGGAAAUUACUAAAACAAUUGAAAAUGUAAAUAGGUGAAAAGUUUGGGAGGGAAAUCAAUAAAAGACUACUA